GUCUGACCUGCCCAAUGUUAAAAUUAAUGGCCGCGGUAUUUUGACCGUGCGAAGGUAGCAUAAUGAAUAGUCUAUUAAAUGUGGUCUGGAAUGAAGGGUUUUACGAGGAAUAACUUUUUUAAUUUUAUUUUUGAAUUUUAAUUAUUAGUGAAAAUGCUAAUGUGAUUUAGGGGGACGAGAAGACCCUGUAGAGCUUUAUAUAUUAAAAAUUUUGGUAGUAUUUAUGUUUUAAAUUAUAUUUUGUUGGGGCGACAGAAAUUUAGAAUCAUUUUCUUAUUAUUAUUCUAUGAUUAUAGAUUAUUUGAUCCAUUAAUAGUGAUUAACAGACUCAGUUACCUUAGGGAUAACAGCGUAAUUUUAUUUUAGAGUUCUUAUCGAUAAUAAAGUUUGCGACCUCGAUGUUGGAUUAGGAUUCUUUUAGGGUGCAACCAUUUUAAAAAGUAGUCUGUUCGACUAUUAAAAUCUUACAUGAUCUGAG
rnacentral:rRNA from 1 species